rnacentral:lncRNA from 1 species
CGAACCCAAACUGUUCCUUAAUUAAAUUUGGAUCCGACGGUUCCACUUACUAAAUACCCGAAAAUUUCGGAUCGGUUCAGUUCUCAUUAGAAUCGAACCGAAUCGGACCAUGUCCAGCCCUAUUUCAUUAUCCAAUGGAUUACAUGAUUUUCUUGGAUCUUUGCAAGCUUUUCUUUUAGGUAAAGUGUUCUAAGUUCAGUUUCUUCAUUCCUCAAACUAACUGUAGAUGACCACUCUGCCAUGCAGACCUCGAGUUUAUCACUUUUACUAAUCUUAGGUUCUUUACGUCAACGUUCACUCGAUGUACCAAUUUUGUCACAUCGACGAGUACUUGAAACCUCAUUGACUUCAUCACCAUUUUCCGUACAUACAUGUACUCCUCUAUUCAAAAAAUCUUUUUCUUGUUGCCUUUCUUCCUUUGAUGUGUUUGGAAGCUAAGUUGAGGUAUUGCCUAAUCCUUCAGAAGCUGUAGUUCCGCUAAAUAUCUUCCCAAGAGUGUGGUAUUGCUUACAUUCUUCUCUUUUGAACAUCUUGUAAUCCGAUUUGUUAAUCUAUCAUUGAAAAAAGAAGUCACAUUAUCAUAGUGUUCAACAAAAAAAUGUAAAAUUGAUAAGAUAAAAACUAAUGACGAAAAUAUUCUUUAAAAAAAAAAUAUGUAGCGUAUAAAAGUGUUGCUAAACUUCCUCUGCAACAUUAACUUUUGUUUGUAUUUGGAUCCCAUGUAACACCUGUAUAUCCCAAAAGUUCAAAGAACAUGCGAUGAAUCUUACGUAAGCGGUUUCACUUUCCCUUUAAUCUAUCUAUGUUGUUAUCCAUUUUUGUAUAAGCUAUCAUGAUUUCAUUGAUCCUAUCCCAUUCGUCUUUCGUGAAUAUAGAAUAUUGCAAUGCAUUUGAUUUCACUCUCUCGUAAAGAAUUUAUAAAAAUGUGUUCAUUCUCGUCCGACCAUGACAUUAGCUCCUUAUUCCUAACUCUGUGACUACCCAUGUUGAAGCUAUAUUGAAUAUACAUCAAAUUAUCAAGAAAUAUAUAACACUUUCCAUAGGCGAUUUGAGGAGGACAUUAAUGUAUUUAAUUAUAAUCACAUACCACCAAUUGCUCAAAACUCUUCAAGUUAAAUGUUUCAGUUUCAAUAUCCAGUAUAUUGCUCAAAAGUAUUAACCCAUUGAUAGGAAUAAUGCGGGGAAAACAAAGCAUAUUAGAAGUGCCUUGCCAUAACAUGUUAAGCAACACUAAAAUAACCUGCUCAAGUUUUAAAUUAUUUCCAGUAGAAAACCUUGAAGUGCCUUAGCAAAUAUACAAUAAACAAGUAAACGAUAUCAAAGCAUAUAAGCCAAAGAUAAUGUCAGUACUAAUGCAGGUUUCAUUUCUUGGAAUGUAAGCAAUAACAGACUUGUGGCAUCCAUUUUGAAGUGGCAAUAAAUGAUAAGAGAAACAAGAGAUGGAAAUAAUUGAAAUUUUGUCACUUCAUUGAGAAAGAAAGAGCUUCUAUGUCAUCCAAUUAUUAGUAUUCCAAACCAAGAAAUAUAAUUCAAUAUUCUAUUCUGAGUAGGCAAGUCAUCCAUACUUAUCAGUUUGUCCAUUUGUUAAAGUCAAUUUAUAAUGAGGACGUUAAAAUUUUCAAAACAUGUCAACAUCCAUCGAUAUAGAAAACAUAAUCAGUAUAAGUUCACAAGUUAAAGGCAUAGUUUGAUGGCUUCUUGAUAAUGGCAUGAAGCAUAUCCUUCUAUUACCUCAUAAAGAAACCAUUUUUAUUUCACAAACAAAAUUUGUUGUUUGAUAUUAAACAAUCCUACAGGACUUACUCUUGAAAACUCAAGUACAAUGAGUCAUACUUUUGGACAUGGACAAAAUUGGAAGGAUAUCUUAACUCUUUUUUUUCCUGAAAAGCUUUUUAUCUAAAACAAUAAAGCAAAGCAAAGCAAAGAAAUAACACCUCCUCUCAGAUUGUGUUUUUAUCUAAAACAAUAAAGCAGAGCAAAAUUGGGGAGAUUACUUAGCCGAGGAUUUGCCCUAGACCCCCUCCUCUCACCUCUCAACUACUGCACAUUUCCAUCAUUCGGCUCCCCAUUUUUAUCUCCACCAUUCUAAACUUCACCACCCCCUCCGCCUUUGUAUCUACCAUGGUCCUCCUCCUUAUUUACUGAACCAACUAUUACUUUCUCUCUUCUCCCCAACGAUGCAGUCGAAUCUCUCUCUCUCUC